AGAGUUUGAUCAUGGCUCAGAUUGAACGCUGGCGGCAGGCUUAACACAUGCAAGUCGAGCGGGGUGAUGUAGCUUGCUACAUUACCUAGCGGCGGACGGGUGAGUAAUGCUUAGGAAUCUGCCUAUUAGUGGGGGACAACAUUCCGAAAGGAAUGCUAAUACCGCAUACGUCCUACGGGAGAAAGCAGGGGACCUUCGGGCCUUGCGCUAAUAGAUGAGCCUAAGUCAGAUUAGCUAGUUGGUGGGGUAAGGGCCUACCAAGGCGACGAUCUGUAGCGGGUCUGAGAGGAUGAUCCGCCACACUGGGACUGAGACACGGCCCAGACUCCUACGGGAGGCAGCAGUGGGGAAUAUCGGACAAUGGGCGAAAGCCUGAUCCAGCCAUGCCGCGUGUGUGAAGAAGGCCUUUUGGUUGUAAAGCACUUUAAGCGAGGAGGAGGCUACUUAGAUUAAUACUCUAGGAUAGUGGACGUUACUCGCAGAAUAAGCACCGGCUAACUCUGUGCCAGCAGCCGCGGUAAUACAGAGGGUGCGAGCGUUAAUCGGAUUUACUGGGCGUAAAGCGUGCGUAGGCGGCUUCUUAAGUCGGAUGUGAAAUCCCUGAGCUUAACUUAGGAAUUGCAUUCGAUACUGGGAAGCUAGAGUAUGGGAGAGGAUGGCAGAAUUCCAGGUGUAGCGGUGAAAUGCGUAGAGAUCUGGAGGAAUACCGAUGGCGAAGGCAGCCAUC
rnacentral:rRNA from 1 species